GGGAGCACUGUUUUAGAUAGAGUUAUAGUUGGUGAAUCUUAUGUCUUGAACUAUGUGUUUUGGAUAUUGAUUUGGACAUUUGGCUAAUGUAAUGAGAUUUCAGCUGGAGAAAGAUGUGAACUGUUAAUUCAUGGUCCUUAGGUAUGUUAUUAACCACCAUGCAGUCCAGUGUAUCUGAAAUUUAAU
rnacentral:lncRNA from 11 species